UUGAAUCUAUUUACAAAUCACUUUUAUAAUCAAUCAUGGUACAUCAAGUGUUAAAACUAUGGACUUAAAAUCAUCCAAUUCGAAAUAGAUGGAAAAACCAACAACGGAUACCACGAAGUAUUUUCACGCUAGGCAAAGGUAACCAGAUAUGUUAAUGCCUGGUCGAUCGAGGUAAGUACGUAUUACCGUGCAACGUGUAACGUUAUCGGGACAGAAUUACCGCUCCAGAAAUGGUGCGUGGUCCGGGUUUCCUUUUAAAUGUGUUAUUUCGCGAAGCUCGUGCCCAAUCAUGCACGAAUGCAACAAUGAACAGGGUCGAAAUAGGGGGAUAGAAGAGGCAGAGACCGGUGAUUUGACCGGAGGCAGGCUCAACAAGCGUUGUAAGGAGAUUUCGUUAAGAAUACGAAAAUCUUAAUGAUCGUCGAUCUUUGAAAAUGUUCAAACCGAGAUUCUUAAUAAUAACACAAUUUUUUAAA